AUUUCUGAGGCAGGAGUGGUAGUGCGGCCUGUGAUCAUGGCGCUGUUCCCGGCUUUUGCGGACGUAAGUGAGGCCUCCGGUGAUGGGGCAUUCAGGAAAGGUAAGCACCCCAAAAGAGUCGAAAAAGACAUCCAUUAAAUUAAUGGCAGAUUUUCGGGCCUGGGUCAUGGCCUUUUUUCUUUGCUUUGUUUAUCCACCUGUAUCCCAGAGUUCUCCGCGGCGCUGCAAAGCCUUCUGGGUCUUGUCUGAAGUGUAGGGCCAGAGGCUCUUUCAGGCGCUACGGUGGUCAAGUAAGCGGAGGGGAAACUAAGCCUACGAUGAUGUCUGGCGCUAACAUUACCGUAUUUUUGGACUUCAUUCUCCUAGAAGCUGCAAUGAUACAACUCCAUUGCAAAAGAAACCCUCUUAAAAUACUUGCAAUUGUGGUUGGCGUAAUUCUGAUUUUUCCUUACUAAAUUGUAACCGUCAACAAAUUCCGAGACUGUCUAUUCAUUGUAGCACACUUAUUAGAAACACAGGCCCAAAAUAUAGACGUAUUCAAUAAGUGUGUCAGGAUUGAUAAUGCAACCUGUUGCAUGAACGAAACUAAGUAACAACAGCAACAAAUCAGUAUAAGGUAGUAUGCUACAAAUGUCAUAGAUGAGCCACAGUCAACCAUAAAAAUGAAACGUUCAGAAUUUUGGAAUGGUCUUCAAGAGGAUAUGAUUUGUAUAGAUAAGAAUUCAGGGACCUUCAAGGGGCUGUGGAAGAGAAGCAUGGGAUUAGAGAACUGGGUGCGUAUUUUAAAUGCUAAGACAAGUGUCAGCUAUAAUGAAGUUAACCAUGGCAGGUAAAUGCAGAAAAUACAUCUAAUACUGAAAGUGUACGGUCAAGUUGAAGGGCUGGCAGUGGUGGCAUACACCAUUAAUUUCAGCACUUGGGAGGCAGAGGCAGGUGGAUCUCUGAAUUCAAGCUCAGCUUGAUCUACGUAGUGAAUUCUUGGACAGCCUGGGCCACAACAUAGAGAGACCCUAAUCUCAAAAAAGACCAAACCAAAACAAAAUAUAGUUAAGAAAAUUAACUAUAUAUUAUUUAACUAUGAGUUACUGUUCAGCUUUCUUUACGGUUGGUUUGCUUAUAGGGAUCCAAAAGAAGUCAGAAUUCUCUCUCUCUCUCCUUUCUCUCUCUUCUUUCUCUCUGUCUUCCUUUUCUCUCUGUCUUCUCUCUCUCUCUCUCUCUGAGAGAGGGGGUGUACUGGCUGGUUUUGUGUGUCAACUUGACACAAGCUGGAGUUAUCACAGAGAAUGGAGCCUCCCUUGAGGAAAGGCCUCCAUGAGAUCCAGCUGUAAGGCAUUUUCUCAGUUAGUGAUCAAGGGUGGGAGGAUCCAUUGUGGGUGGUGCCAUCCCUGGGCUGGUAGUCUUGAGUUCUAUAAGAGAGCAAGCUGAGCAAGCCAGUAAGAAACAUCCCUCCAUGGCCUCUGCAUCAGCUCCUGCUUCCUGACCUGCUUGAGUUCCAGUCCUGACUUCCUUGGUGAUGAACAGCAGUGUGGAAGUGUAAGCUGAAUAAACCCUUUCCUUCCCAGCUUGCUUCUCGGUCAUGUCUGUGCAGGACUAGAGACCCUGACUAAGACAGAGAGUUGGCCAGAAACCCACAGAGAUCUGCCUUCCUAGUGUUGGGAUUAAAGGCAAGUGCUCCCAUGUCCAGGCACACUGCAUUUUCUGCAUGUACCCGUAGGUCCCCUUGAGUAUGAAACAGUUUCUCUGCUCUUGUAUUUUCUCAGGUGAUAUAUUUGUUGAGGAAGCUGGUUAUCCAUCCUGAAGAUGUUUCCCGCUAAAUCUUCCUGUAACUUGCUCCUUUAUUUAUCCAUCCCAUUAUUUCCUGGGAACUGAUAAUUAGAUUUAAAGAGCCGAUAAGAUCUAGCUAUAUACUUUUUGUUGUUGAGGGUAGCUUGUUUGGAGUGCUGCACAAAUAUUAAGUCCUAUCAGGAGGGUCCAAUCUUUGAUUUCAGUGAUAUUAAGGGGGUCCGUGUUGGGCAUCAGAUCCCCUGGGAUUAGAGUUAAGAUGGUUGUGAGCCUCCAUGUAGAUGCUGGAAAUCAAACCUUGGUCCUUUGAAGAACAACCAGUGUGCUUAAUCACUGACCCGUCUUUCCAACCAUGCCAUUACACCUUCAUCUGAUAAUUUUGCAGUGAUGUUUUUUAUAUUCUUGUGACAGGGUCUCACUGGGACCCAGAUUAGCCUCCAGUGUGUAAUCACCUUGAAUGAGCAAAAGAGACUCAAAGAGUUUCUUCUGACUCUAGAACUUGCAUUAUAAUUUUUUAUGACAGGGUUGGGAAUCUUGUGAUUUAAACAUCUUCGCAGUUCCUGGGCUGCUUCAUGGGGUAGAUCAACUCCCAGGAAAACGUCGACACCUUGAAUGCCAUUCUUACCUGUGUUUGCUGGUGCUUUUUGUACAAGUGAGUUCGAGCUUCCAGCAAUCAGAAAAUGGCAGUCCUAAUCAAAAUGAACGGCUUAUUCUCAAGAGAACAAAUAUCUUCAUUAAUGUGAUUGCUAACUCAUUUUUACCAUCAGCCUUGGAAAUGCUGUUUGAAUGAUUUACCCCUGGAGGAGUGGCCCCUCAUCUCUGAGUUCACUUAAACAGACUAGAAGCCAGGGCUACAUUGUUAGGACAAGGUACAGAAAUGGAUAUUGAACUUGGAUGUGAUACCCACUUAUAAAGUUACCUAGUUUAGAAGCUUAUUCAUGCUGGCUUGCCCCUCUGCCUUUGGUGGAACUGAACGCAGGCCUUUUCAGUGGAGAUGGAGGGUUAGUAAAGUGUCUUAGUAAGCUCACCACAGAGGUAUGUCAGUGAGUCCUCGGUGAUGGGCUGUUAGCUUACCUCUGUCAGAUUUCUCUGAAGGUGUGUGUAGGUGCUCUAUAUCCCGGCAGUGGGUGGGCAGCACGUGACGUGGCGUUGAGGAGGUUAUUUCCCUCUUUUCCUUUCUCAUAUGCAUGGGUGUGUGAAGUACGGUGCCAGGCUCUCAGCAGUUGCUAACCUGAGAUUUCUGUGCUGAUCCCCAGAGGUUGGGUCUUCCAGAUCCCUCUCAGGCUCCAGCUGCUUGCUUUCCUGCUGUUCCUUUCUGUAGUAUAGUCUACCUGCUUAGUGAUUCGAGUACACAUAUAAUAUAUGACACCCUGCAUAGUGAUGAAAGUACAUAUGUACUACACCCUCCUUAGUGAUGUAAGUGCACACACACACACACACACACACAGCACCCUGCUUAGUGGUAAUAAGUACAGACUUGAUUUCUGUCAGGCUCUCUAAGUUAGGAGGUUGUAAGUAACCACUGAAAGGGACUUGGUAGCCUGGAGAGAUGGUUCAUCAGUUAAAAGCACUGAUUGCUCUUCCAGAGGACCCAGGUUCAAUUCCUAGCACACCCACAUGGCAGCUCACAAGCAUUUGUAACUUCAAACUAAUAUCAAAGC
rnacentral:lncRNA from 1 species